AGCACCAGCAUUGUAGUACUGGAAGCUGAUCUCAUCUACAAUGGCAUUGCACGAGGAGAGAGGCAAUCUCAAAGGUGCAGAGUACAUUUAUAGCCAACAUGCCACUCCCAUAAAACACACCAACUACAUAGUGCUGAAAUAUGGCUGCCAUUAACAGGUGUGAUCUGACAGAACAGCUCUAGCCACUUUUGGAUGUUACUGGUCUUCUGAAUCUCCCACCUCCACAGGAAGAAGGUUGCAGCUUUUUGUGUCAUCACAACGUUUUCCUUUGGAGUUUCCACCAGCAAGAUCUAUGCUGGAGUGUACAUCUGCAGAAGUCAUCAUGUGGUGCUGAAACCAUCAUCUUGGCCAACACAAUGGGGAUUGAACUGGAGACUUCUAAAGGAAAAAAGCAGCUACUGCUAGUGCCAGGACUGUAAUAGACUUAUUUAGCCUCUUCAGAUCUGGUACAGCUGUAAAACACACUUACCAGUGGGUUACACUGCCUCUGUGGCUCGAACUGGUUUCUGCCACAGCUUGUAUGAAAAACUGCUGCAAAGACUGUUCAAAAAUAGUAGUGCAUAAUAUUGUGCCUCUUACAUGGCAUAGACAGUGUAGUUGUGCAGGCAGACAAGGGAGGGGGCCCAUGGGAGUACAGCAUUGCCAUAAAGAGAGGUUGAGGAUUAAGGAAGGCACAAGCUGCCUGGGAACACCAAGCAAAUGCAACCUCCUAUAAACAAAAGCACUUAGUGGCAUAUGCAGGCAGAUAGAAGGGAUGUGAUGGGGAUAGGAAUGAGGGAGAACAGGAACAAUAACAGGAAACCAGGACACUCACCCAAGCACAGAACAAACCAGCGAGCACCUACCUCUGUGUUUGCUUUAGGACUGUAUGAGGUAAAGGGAAGUGCUUUAUGCUUGGUCUCAUAUCUUGCUAAAAGUAUCACAAAAUUACUCUCAAACAUAUUUUAAUUGUUGUUGCCACUCCUGCAAUUCACAUCCUAGCUUUUCCAACAUUAGAAAGGUGUGGUAGACCAGUUUCAUAUUAGAGAAGGAAGAAAGGUACUUAUUAAUACAAAAUAGUCACAAAAAGUCUGAAAGUUCAGUACAAAGUACUGCCAUUGGGUGUGUUUUGUGAUUUUUUUAUUUAAUAAUCAGUACAGUUACAAUGACUAGUGCUAAGCCAGAAGGCCUUUAAACACAUGAAUGUGCACAAGUGUGUGUGUCUGUGUGUGUAAUGCUUUAAGGAAUGUAUAAAUG